CUCAAUUAGUCGGGGUGCUUUCUUACGGAAGGCUGAGAAUAUACCCGAGAACCUGAAACAGUUAAUGCUGGCGUAGGAAACUAAUUACCUUUCCCU
rnacentral:ncRNA from 1 species